ensembl:lncRNA
GCAGUGUUGGUGGUCUCUUCCGCUCUGCAGCCUCAGGAGUGCCCACCUGACCUGGCUGUUGGGUCUCUCUCUCACGGGGUCUGGGAGCAGAGAGCUGCUGCGGGCCGGGAUCCGCGGGUGUGGGACUUCCGGUGGAGUCUAGAGACUAACGUAGGAAGAUCAUCUGGCUUGCAGAAGAAAAGAACUUAUGACAGAAGUAUAUUAUGAUUGUACCCUACGAGGACCAACAUCGGCUGACUGAGACAAAAGCAGACUCUUAACAAAGAAUCAUUGAACAAAAGUCACAGACCCCUGUGGUUGAAUUAGGGAAAGGUGGGAAGAAGCUAAGGAGGAGAGUGACCCUACAGAAAGAGCAGCAGUCUCAACAAACCCAGACCCCUGAGAUCUCUCAGACACUGAACCACCAAUCAGACAACAUAAAGGAGCUGGUCCGAGGUUCCAGACACAUGUACAAACAGAAGACUGCCUGGUCUGGCCACAGUGGGAGAAGAAGAGCCUAAACCUCUAGAGACUUGAGGCCCGGGUGACUAGAGGAAUGGUGGAAUGGUAGACCAGGAGGGGAGCAACUACUAGACUGUAAAACAAUAAAGACAAUCCCUAAAGGCGUUUUGGCUGUUAUGGAUUAAAAACAAUUUCCACCAUUUUCAUAGGGAAGCAGCAAGCCAUCUUUAGCAGCCAUACAGUGAUCCAAGUCUCCGGUAUUCUACAUCAGUAUGUUGGGACACACCAUGAUGGUUUGGCUGCUGACAAUAACUCGUGUCCAAGAACCCAUCUGUCAGUGACAGAAAUAGCCAGAGAAGAUGUGGUGACAGUGGCCAGCGUUCUGAGCUUGAUGAACACCAUCUGUACCUGGAAAAGGACUGACCAC